rnacentral:tRNA from 1 species
CGGGAUGUGGCGCAGUUGGCUAGCGUACUUGCAUGGGGUGCAAGGGGUCGGAAGUUCGAGUCUUCUCAUCCCGA